CAUGGCGGCGCUCUACGCCUGCACCAAGUGCCACCAGCGUUUCCCCUUCCAGGUGCUGUCUCAGGGGCAGCAGCUGUGCAAGGAAUGUCGGAUUGCACACCCUGUUGUGAAGUGCACCUACUGCAGGACUGAGUACCAGCAGGAGAGUAAAACCAAUACAAUAUGCAAGAAAUGUGCUCAGAACGUGCAGUUGUAUGGAACG
rnacentral:lncRNA from 1 species